AAAAACCUAAAUCCACGCGGACGAAGUCGCGGGCAUCCUCUAGUAAAAUAGGUAAGUAUUGUUACAAAGAGAAUAUUAUCUUUUACCUAGUUUGUUGUAAAAUCAUUAAGGUCAUCUUGAUAAACAAUUAACAAGUAUUGAUUUCGUAACGGUUUUAUUAGCAACCAAUACGCCAUCGAUUUCACCAUAAUCAGUUCAGUUAGGCUCAAAGCAGAUUAGCACACAGUCAAAGCGCAACAACGCGUACUUCCUUAGAACAUAUCAAUGUUCCUCGAGGUGUUUAUAUGAAACAGUCACUAAAAUUAAUUCGACACAAUUUAAACCAAGAGAUAUCCACGCGCGUAAGCAUGCUAACCCGUACAUAACCCGACCGAGAUUGACUAACGUCCAAAAUUAAAAUCAAUCUAUAUGUAAUCUGUCGAUAAGUUACUUAGCAACUUUGUUAUUUGUCGAAAAUUGUACAGCCGUUUUUGACAAAUAACAACGUUGUUAAGUAACUUAACCACAAGUUAAAGAUAGAUUGAGUAUUAAUUUUGCCGUAAGACAGUGCGGUUUUCUUACAGGCUAAUAACAUGAGUUUCGUGUUGUGUCAGUAGCAGCUAUAGUCUCUAAGUAUGCUGAACUUCAUCUCGACACAGUAUGUAAAAAAACAAAAAUAGCGCCGCUUACAGUUGGUUUUGCAGCUCAUUUGAAUAUGGAAUACCUUGGCUAGUUCGGUUUUCAUAUUAUCGUUUUUACACUAGCCAUCACCGCUCACCGAGCGGUGAAGUGCUAGGAUUAAACAUUGGAAAAAAAAUAGUGUUGUUGCUCUUCGAUUUUCACCAAUGGGCUUUGAGCUUUAAAAAUUAAAUUCACUGACCGUCGCCUGUGAUGUGGUAAAAAUAGUAGUAACUCUCGAUAUUUGCACGAUAGUUCAAAAUAAUGUAAAGU